GAUUUCCUGGAAGAAGGAUUGCCCGCCAUGGAAGAAUAAGUUGAAUAGUUUGGAUAAUUUCCUGCUCCGAUGGAAAGAAGUGUAGUGAUUGAUGGGUUCUUUAUUUUGACUGUGUCUGUGAAGUUGGAGAAUUGUUUUUCAUCCGAAGGUAAUAAAGAAAGCUCAUAGGAAGUUGAGUUGACACCAGCAAAACCACACAUCAGGUGAGUGAAGAGAGCAGAAUUUACAUCUGAAACUGGGAACCCAUCGCGUGAAUCCCAGUAACCAGCUCUGAUUAAAGUUUGUGCUCUUGCAGGAAGCGAUUCUGAAAAUAUAAAAAUGUGGAGGACAAGAAUGAUAAUUUUGGAUGCCAUUGUGGGAACCUGGCUGCUUGAGGCAUACCUAGUAUGUGAUUAUAUAUUUGUACACACACACACAAAAUGUAAUGGAGAAAUUAUCCUAUACCGAUUGAGAUUAGUUAUUGCACUAAUAAUGCAAACUUGAGUCAACUUUCAACUUAUGAGCUUAGUCCAUAAGUUUUUAUACGAUAUCAAAUUCAAGUUAUGAAUGAGGGACCCUAUAAUACCUUCCAACCUAACUUAAUAAUUAAUCUUAGCCAAUGUGACAUACUUGUUCUAUCACUUUAUCACGUCCAAGUCGAUCUUUUAGCUUUGUCUCUUUUUCAUGAUAAUAAGUGAUAAGAUUGAAGUUCUUAAAUUAAGCUAUGACUUUUUACCUCCGCUUAGCUUGACUUCUGAAGUUGGAGACUCGUUCUUUUGUAUUGUCUUUGUUGGUAUUUAAAUGAACUCGGAGUCCUCGACGAGUUUCUGAAGCGAAGUCAUUAUUCCUCUAUGACUCCAUCCAUGCAAUUGGAAGGCAAAAUCUUGUGAAAAUAUUUUCUAAGUUGAUUCAGUCCAUGAUCAACGUGCACAAAACGCAAAAUCUUGCGAAAAUCAAACCCGUCCUCACUCAUGACCUCACUUUAUUAAAUUACAGCUUGUCAUUGAAUUGAGUGUUGCCUUAAUUAAGCCAUCAAAUUAAUAAAGUGAUGGUCAUUAAGAAAUACACUUAGUUACUUCCUGAUGGUAAGAUUCAAUAAUAUUCUAAUUUAAAAAAAAAAAAAAAGAUCCAUAUACCUUUUUCUUGUGUAAUUUAAUUUUCAGUCCAGUCCACCCUCCCAUUUUAUCAUAAAAGUGUAUACAAACAUACGUUUUACUCAAUGUUUACUUAGAAACAAAUGGCGCGCGUACGAUUGCCGAUCUAGUACCACUCUCGUAUGCUUGGUGGGAUUCGGCUUCACCAAAUUUGUAGCAUAUAUUUUACUUUAAUGAGAAAAUCAAAUAAUUAUUGAACAAAUAAUUUUUUUUUCAAUAUACUUUCUUAAAAUGUAUGGAGUUGGUAAAGUGCAAAUUCAUUUUUUAGCCCUUUGACUCCUCCAAAAUCAAAACUAAAAUUAAUGGUCAGUUAAAUAAUGUUACUUGAAAAUCAUUUCCUAGCUAGAAUUUGUUUAAUUCUAUUAAUUUACAAUCGUUUUUCAUUUUACUUAAUUAAUUAAAGUGAAUUUAUUAUGUAUACAUUCUACAUACAUAAAGUUUUAAUAUUCAGUGUUGAAUUGAAUUGUACUAAAUUUUUUAUAAUUUUUUGUCAGACCUGCGUUUUUAACAGUUUAAUAGUAAUAUUGAUAGCACAUAAUAUACAGGAUUAAGAGAGAUCGAUUUCGACUGCUACAAGAUUUUUAGGAUUGCAUGCACAAGGGUUUAAAAACAAAGUGUACACUUAAUUACACCAAACGAGGGUGCAUUUUUAUGAUGAAAUAAAAACUACGUGCAGGGUUGUAAAAGUGGCUCCAUAAUUAGCGUACAUUAACAUUCAUCUAGCUACCACUUCCGAAAAUGAUACAUCAUAAGCCGAACAUUUUUCCAAUUUUGUUGUAGAUAAUAGUUCAAUCCCAAUUUCAUCAACUUGUUUUGAGAAAGCAGGCUUCUUGGGAGUAUUUGUAUUUGUGGUUUCAUUCUUGAGCAUUGAGGAAACUUCCAGCAUUGAAGGUCUAUCGUUUGGAUUCUCCUGGACACACAACAAAGCUAUUUCCACACAUCUCAUUAAUUUACAAGGGGAAUUUCUAUCAUCUAGGAAUGAAUCCACAAACUCCACGCCUUUGCCAACUUUCCACAACUCAUAUGCCUGAAAUUAUCAAGUACCAUCUUGUUACAUAAUUUAUACUUCUUAAUUAAGUGCGCAUAUGUGUACUCAGGGUUACUAUAGCCGAAGAAACUUACGUGCUCUAGAAUGCUUAAAUUUUCAUUGAUGCCACAUAACACUGAAAGCCUCUUUCCACUUAUGAUUUGUAGAAGUAAAACUCCGAAACUAAAAACGUCUGAUUUGGUAGAGUAUACACCUUGUCUGGCGUACUCAGGAGGAAUACAGCCUCUGCGUUCAAAAUAACCAAGUAUAUAUGAGUAAGGGAUUUUGCAAUUUAAUAAAUUUGUAAAACCCAUUUUAAAUUGUGGUAAAAGUCCAUUCUGCAUUUUAUUAAAGUGCUGAAUUCCUUAUUCGAAACCCAAUAUAUGUAUAACAAACAGAAGCUUGAGUAAAGGAUAUCAUUUAGAUGUAAUAUACUUACAUUGUUCCCACAACUUGUUCUGUAUUCGCUUCGAGACUCUCUUUUGCAAAAAUCCUAGCCAAACCAAAAUCUGAAAUUUUAGGUUUCAUACCUUCACCUAACAAAAUAUUACUGGCUUUCAAGUCUCGAUGAAUAAUAGUCAGUCUUGAAUAUUCCUGGAGGUAUAAAAGCCCUUGAGUUAUCCCUUCAAUGAUAUGAACACGUUUUUUCCAAUCCAAAAUAAGUCUUCUGAUGGGAUCUACAACAAAUAUAUAGUUUUGGACAAUAAGUGAUAUGCAAAUGAAUUUUAUACACAAUUAAUAUUAACUUGAUUUCAGAACAAACCAAAAAGGUAGCAAUCCAAGCUUUUGUAUGGCAUGUAUUCGUAGACCAGCAUCUGUUCCUCACUGUCAAUGCAAAAACCUAAAACUCUAAUAAGAUUUACAUGUUGGAGUUUUGCAGUAAGCAUAACCUCAUUCUUAAACUCCUCAAAUCCCUGUGCGGAUGAUUUCGAAAGUUUCUUCACUGCUAUCACCCCUCCACAGGGUAAUACACCCUGCAACCCAAAAAAAAAAACCACGUUCAUAUAAAGCUUUCACUAAUUAGAGAAGCUGAGAAAUGUUAGCCAAACAAUAUGCUACCCCCCAAAGUUGAGGGCACCAUUUUAAGUCCUUUAAGUCCCCAUGGACGCAAAAUGUAAAUCUCCUCUCACAGAAUAUGGAUAUGGGUAGAGGUAUCUUCCUAAAAUAUUAGUCGAAGUAGUUAUAUCCCUCUAGUGUGAGGUUAGAGGUCUCAUCUCUAAUAGGCAUAGAUUUUUAAAUUAUAUGUUUUGGGCCUCUGAAUUCUAUGACGAGUGUACAAAUUCAAACUUCCGAUAGGAUCCAAAUUGCAACAUUGUGGAUUGUAACAAAUUAAAAUAUAGGUAUACACACACACACACACAUAUGUUACCUUGUAAACAGGACCAUAUCCACCCUCCCCAAGCUUAUUUCUAAUUGAAAAUCCCUCGGUGGCCGCCUCAAUAUCAGCCAAACUAUAUACUCUGAGAUUAGGAACAUUUAUGUUAAAGUCUCCAGCUUCUGUUUCAUUAUUUGCUCUCGUGUUUGAUGCUUUAGCAGAAUCCUCUGUUCCUAACAUCAACCAAGAGUAAAUAUUAGAUAAUUAAUUGUAUGUCAGCCUCAGUGAUAUAUAUGUGUGUGUGUGUGUGUGUGUGUGUGUGUGUGUGUGUGUGUUUGUGUUUGUGUGUGUGAAUGAAAUGCAUGCUUAAUGAUAAUUGAUAGCUGAAGCUUGUUACCUUCUAUUAACUUGAGCCUUUUCCUCUGGUUGUAUUUAUAUGCACAACAGCCUAGAAGGAGAGUCAAAGCUGCCGCUGCAGUGGAAAUGAGUGCAAUGGACAGACACCGGUUGUUACUAUGUUCAUCUUUUUCAGCUGAAGCAGAAGUAAUCCUGUCUUUUUGUGCUGGAAAUAUGUAUAGUUCACCAAUUAAUAAUAACAAGCUUGAGAUACCAUAACAAUCAUUAUUAAUCAGAGAGAACAAUUAUUGCAUAUAUAAAUACCUGCAGCUUGAGAAAGCACCCAAUUAUGAUCAUCAAAAGGAACUCGCCACACAUAGUAACCAAGCAAUCUCUUCUCUUUGGCAUAGGCGAUCUUAGCUCUAACAGCCUCCACAUCAUCAAAACCAAACCAAACCGUCCCAGUGGAGAAGUAAUUCACCACAUAAGUUGAAUUGUACAUAACUUGAACAUUAGGAGCAUAGUUCUUGAUGUGAUUCUUGAUAGUCCUAUAGGUCACAAGGCCAUCAUUAGUCAAAGCUGGUCCUGCUGCUGCUGCUCCAAUACCAUUGUCUUCAGGUUUCACAAGCCUCCAUGCAUAGCCAUAGAAAGGCAAAGACAUAGCCAACUUAUCAGCCGAUAGCCCUCUCUCAAUCCAUGCCUUUAAAACCUGAUCGGUACUUUUAGCAAAGCCGCCGCUACUUGAGCCAUGGAGAGCCGCAGGUGGCGCAGUGAAGUUUGUUGACAAAGGCUUGUAGUAGUUAGCAGUAACUGCAUGAACCCAAUUCAAGUUUCGUUGCAUCGAAUUCAAAAGAUAUGAAUUCGCUGGUGGUGAAUAACGAAAUCUUGCGGUCAAAAUCAGCGGGGAUUGCUGGCGACUAGAGUUUAUUGCCUCUAAUUUUGUAGCAGCAAUUCGCCACUCGUCAAAAAGUAAACCAAUAUUGAACAUAUCGGUGCUUGUGUUGGGAGCUGUCCAAGCAAAAUCUAGGCCCUGAAAGCCAUAAAGCCUAGCUAUUCUUAUUGAAGAGUCGAUGAAAGAUUUUCUGUGAGAAGAAUUUCUCACCAUUGAAGAAUAUAUAGAAUAGUUUGUAUGUCUUCCUUCUCCAAUGGAGAGAAGCAUAGUGAUUGAUAGGUUCUGUUUCUUCACAGUGUCUGCGAAUUUGGCGAUUUGAUUUUCAUCGGAUGGUAAUGAUAAAGAUAGCUGGUAAGUGGUAGAAUUGAUAUCAGCAGAAGAGCAAAUAAGGUGAGUGAAGAGAUCAUAAUUUAUGCCCGAAAUGGUGGACACUUCGCUUAGAUUCAAGUAACCGACCCUAAUCCACGGUUUUGCUUUCGCUGGAUGAAGUUCUGAAUAGAGCAACGUGUGCAAGAUGAUGCUGAUAAUUAUGGAUGCCAUUUAAGACUUUGUUAGGAAUGGAAAUGAAUGCACACUAAGAGAAAUUAAAUAAACACUAGUUUCACAGUUCAUUUAGGUUCUUAUUAAACUAUUAACGCAUAGGUUCAUUUCGUUCCAAAAAAAAUCUUAUGUGCUCCUGAUAGGGACACAUACAUUGCAUGUUAAGAUGAUGAUAGGCGAUGCGACCAUUUCCUAAGAACUAAGAUUUUCUUCUAUCGCGUGGCUGACUUUUCAUGAAGAAAAAUGAUGCUUUGGUUGUCAUUUGGUUAAACUGAUGACAAAUUUCGGGUUACAAAUAUCAGUAUUGUUUUAUUAAACAAUAAAAGACAAAAAAUCAAUAUUUAUUAGAGAGAACAAUUAUUGCAUAUAUAAACACCUGCAGCUUGAGAAAGCAUCCAAUAUUGAUCAUAGGAAACUAGCCACACAUGGUAACCACGUAGCUUCUUCUCCUUGGCAUAUGCAACCUUCACUCUAAUGGCCUCCACAUCAUCAAAACCAAACCAAAUCUUCCCAAUCGAGCAGUAAUUCACCACAUAAGUUGAAUUGUAAAUAACUUGGACAUUAGGACCAUAGCUCUUGAUGUGAUUCUUGAUUUCCCUAUAACUCACAAGACCAUUUUCACUCAAAGCUGGUCCCGUUGCUGCUGCACCAAUACCAUUGUCCUCAGGUUUCACAAGCGUCCAUGCAUAGCCAUAGAAAGGCAAACAUAAAACCAAUUUAUCAGCCGAUAACCCUUCCUCAAUCCAUUUCGUGAUUCCGUAUUCAGUAUUAGAGACACUAUUUGGAUCAUACAGAGCCGCAUGAGCACCAGUAAAAUUUGUCCACGUAGGGACUGAGUAAUCAGUAGUGAAAACAUGGACCCAAUUCAAGUACUGUCUUAUCGAGUCGACUGGAUAAGCUGCUGCUGUUGAGAAUGGUGAAUAUGCAACCGUUGCCGUCAAAAUCAACUGUGAUUGGCUCGAGUUAUUUCUUGCUUCUAAAGCUACGGCAGCUCGUCAUUCUUUAAAGAGAAUGCCAAUAUUGUACUUAUCCCAGCUUGUGUUUGCAAAAUACCAAGACAGAUCUAAGCCUUGAAAGCCAUAGAGCCUUGCUAUUUUUAUUGAGGAGUCAAUAAAGGAUUUCCUGGAAGAAGGAUUGCCCGCCAUGGAAGAAUAAGUUGAAUAGUUUGGAUAAUUUCCUGCUCCGAUGGAAAGAAGUGUAGUGAUUGAUGGGUUCUUUAUUUUGACUGUGUCUGUGAAGUUGGAGAAUUGUUUUUCAUCCGAAGGUAAUAAAGAAAGCUCAUAGGAAGUUGAGUUGACACCAGCAAAACCACACAUAAGGUGAGUGAAGAGAGCAGAAUUUACAUCUGAAACAGGGAACCCAUCGCCUGAAUCCCAAUAACCAGCUCUGAUUAAAGUUUGUGCUCUUGCAGGAAGCGAUUCUGAAAAUAUAAAAAUGUGGAGGACAAGAAUGAUAAUUUUGGAUGCCAUUGU
rnacentral:lncRNA from 1 species